rnacentral:misc_RNA from 1 species
GAAGAAGAUAACCUCCACACAACAGUCCAGUUUUUUCAAAAAAUGCACACAUUGUGAAGUCACAAAGACACCUCAGUGGAGAGAAGGACCACUAGGGCCUAAGACACUAUGCAACGCUUGUGGAGUUCGCUAUCGUUCAGGGCGUCUCUUUCCAGAGUAUCGACCAGCUGCUAGUCCUACAUUUGUUCCAUCUGUGCACUCGAACUCUCACAGGAAAGUCGUAGAGAUGAGGAAAAAGACUCUGUAUGGAGGAGCAGGUGAAGUUGAGGAACCUCCCAAGGUGAUCAUGGGAAGAAGUAGUGAAGCUUUGCCAGAACCAACCAUUGCUGCUGACCCUGCGAUGUCGCCCGCGCCAGAGUUUGUUCCUAUGAGUAGUUAUUUGUUUGAUGUAUACUGAAGAGAUGAUUAUACUUUUAGUUAGGAGGUUAAUCUAGUUUAUUGCUAAAUUUUCGACGGGGGGCACAGAUGAUGGUUAUGGUGGUGUAUGGUUGCUACUCCUGCUUUAAGAGGUUGUACAAAUUGUUGAAUCUUUAGGGUGUCUCUAGACUAGAUAUUUGAUUGGAGGUUUAGAAGGAAAAAAGCUUUGAGUCAAAUGUUUGAUGAAAAAGCAAAGUUUCUCUGAUGUAAAAACUGAACUAGAUAU